rnacentral:rRNA from 1 species
AUGCAUUGGUACACUUGGUGGAAGCUUUGUUACCCAAAAAAGGAAGGAGGGAUGGGUUUUAGGGACCUCUACUCCUUUAAUCUUACUAUGCUAUCAAAACAAUGUUGGCGUCUCAUAACCAAUCUAGAGUCUCUUUGUGCAAGGGUACUAAAAGAGAAAUAUUUUCCGAAUUGUAGUCUGCUCCAAGCUACAUUGAAAAAUGGAUACUCCUUCACUUGGGAAAGCAUCAUGAAAUGA